UGAGGGAGAGCUGAAAGACGGUUUCGGCUGUCACUUACAGAUGGGCCCGCGGCGCAUUAGCUAGUUGGUGAGGUAACGGCUCACCAAGGCGACGAUGCGUAGCUAUGUGCGGACGGGAUAAGUGCUGAAAGCAUCUAAGCAUGAAGCCCCCCUCAAGAUGAGAUUUCCCAUAGCGCAAGCUAGUAAGAUCCCUGAAAGAUGAUCAGGUUGAUAGGUCAGAGGUGGAAGCGUGGUAACAUGUGGAGCUGACUGAUACUAAUCGAUCGA
rnacentral:ncRNA from 1 species